AGAUAGUUAUUCUUCAAGAACAAUUACUAUUAUGAGUUAAAAAAAAUUAUUACUUUUAUCUUGAACAUUUAAAGUAACAAAUAAUUGUCAACUCAUUUGAGGUGGAGUUUCAGUUUGAUCGUAUUGCCUCUUAACUCCUUUUUAGUCCUUAUUAAGGACUAACAUUUUUAACUUCCCAUCAUGUUUAAUAUUUUGAUUUGAUAUAUUUGAUAUAUUUUUAAUUUAACAUCAUAAAAUUUAAUGAUCUCUUUAUAUUAUUAAACUUCACUCCUAAAAUAUUAAAUUUAUUAUAUUGAUCUAUUAUAAUUAGAGCCGUGAAAAUGAAUCAGGCCCAUUGGACCGGACCGGCCCAGUCCGUAACUUGUUAGAAUUGGACUACAAUUUUUGCAGCCCAUUUAAAAAUAGGGCUUUUUAACCCGAUCCGUAUAAGCCUGUUGGCCCGUAGGACUUGAGCAAUAUGAACUGGGCUGACCCGUGGAUCAAAUAAUAUGGCUGACCCAUGUAGGCCCACAGCCCAUAGUGUGAUGAGUUGAAGCUUGCUAUUUUCUGUCCCAUUAUGUUGAUAUUUUAAUUUGACAUAUUCGACAUAUCUUUAAUUUAAGAUCACAAAAUUCAAUGAUCUUUAUAUUAUUAAACUUCAUUCCCAAAAUAUUAAAUUUAUUAUACUGAUCUAUUACCAUUAGAGCCGUCAAUAUGGGUCGGGCCCGUUAGACUGGCCCAGUCCAGUCCGUAAAUUGUUAGGAUUGAACUACAAUUUUUGCAGCCCGUUUAAAAACAGAGCUUUUUAGCCCGACCCAUAUAAACCCGUUGGCCCGUGAGGCUUGAGCAAUAUAUAUGGUGGGCCAAAACAAUAGGGCUAACCCCGUGAAGGCCCACAGCCCACAGUGUGAUGCUAUUUUCUGUCCCAUUAUGUUAAUGGACCAUCUCGGCCUGACCCGUCAAACUCCAAAGCCCGUGUGGACUGGACCAGCCCAUAUUGAUAGCUCUAAAUUUAUCAUUUUAUUUAGUUUUUCUUAAGAAGUGUACUAGAUUAAUAAUGGACAAGUAAAAAUGAGAGAGAUGGGAACUAGUUGUUGCACGGUCCCUACCACAGCAACACGCAUGACUUACAGCUACAUGGAAACUAAAAUGGAAUCAGAUUCUUGUACAUCCCUUGGUGCUUUCUAUAUUCGUUGGACUACUCCGAAAGAGGAAGGAUAAUUUCAUUAUAACCCUAUCAGACCAGUAUUCAAUCUACUAAAAGAUCAAAUCUUCUUCCUUUUUUCAAUCGUGAAUCCAUAUCUAAAGUAGGCCAGACGUACAGAUCGACACAAAACCAUCUUAUGUCGUAUUCCAUUCAUGAUGUAUAGUCUUCCCCAAGACCCAUACUAAUUAAAGUUGUAAGCACCCUGGGCCAUAUAUACGCAGUCCUUGUAUAGCAGUAAGAUAAGAAGAUAACCCCACAGUGGGAUCAAAGAUUAAUAAGUUAAGCUGAGGGUUUUGACACGUUACGUGGGAUGACUAGGAUAUCCUUGAUAAGUAUUUAUCACUUCUUCAUUACUAAGCUUUAAUUUGGUUGGAUGGAGAAAGCCAUGUGCUUUGGGGAUUAUUUUCUCUUCUACUUGUAUUAUUGCCUCAGACACCAUUAAAAUGCCAACAAUUCCAUUACUAGAAAUAGAGAGAUGAAAAAUUAGCCCACUCACUGAAAAACCGCACAGUGGAAACAUAUUCUGUUGAAAUACUGGAAAGCUUCCUAAAAUUUUGCACUACUCCCACCAGUUCAAUCAAAACAUAUGUAAAAAUAGUCAUUAAAUGAUUUUCGGUGUAAAUUUAAAUGGGGAAAUACAAGUUUCUAGUAGUGCUGAUUCCUUUAUCAUCAUAUAAAAUAAAGAGGGCUUGCGCAAAUAUCUGACAAUUCAAUCGUCAUGAUGGGAGUUCUGAAUUUUCCCCCACAAAUGUGUCUAUAUUCAUCCAUUGAAAAUCAGGACCCUAUUUAUCACGGACAGCCAAAAGAGGCAAACAUACUACUUAUUCCCUGAGAACACAUGUUAUGUAGCCAAGAUUUCCAUAUUUGUAAUAGUACCCACCAGAUUAGUUUAUUACCCAUCCUUUGAAGGGUAUAUAAUUAAACACGAUAAGGUAAUUUUAAACUUUACAAAAACAGACGCACAAAAUAGGAAUAUCACAAUUUUAUAAGGUACGUUAUAGCUUCUUGAAUGUAAUUUUGCGACACACCUCAUGAAAUUGACGCCUAAUUAUAGGCUUCUAACUAUACAUAAGCUAGCUAAUCUUAUAUUGGAAAGAAAAGUUAAAAAGUGUAAAGAGCACUAUAUAAAUAGAGGAAAAAUUCACAUGAUGCAUACACUUGGGUAAAACUUUUGAUAAGCAAAUACUUUUCAAAAUAAGUAAUUUUUGAAAGUCUAAUCAAAGAUGAUAUAAAUUCAACCCUGCAAAAGAGAGAGAAGGUGGGGUUUGGGUUUGGCCUGGCCUCAGAAAGAUGAAUGGACUCGUAGCACUUGCUAAUUAUGCACACACUUGGGAUCACAAUCACAAGAUACAACUAUCUAGAAUCAUGAUCUAAAAUGAAUGAGGAAUUAUUUUUAUUAAAAUUUUACAAUCACCAAGAUCGAAGUGUUUAGGUUUUCAGCUUAUGUCGGUCUCAACUAAAGGCAGCACUAGGCACAUGUCAAACCCCACAAUAUACAAAAUCGGUAGUAAUUGCAUAUUUAUUUUACUACGUAGUUUAAUUGGAAGGUAGAACAUCCAUCAAAUGACAAUAAUUACUUUCUUAGUUUAGAUUUAUUUGAACACAAAUUUAUAUGGUUGGACAAAGAAGUUAAUAGACUUUAAUCUUUAUGAUAAUUAAAGUUGUUAUAUAAGUAAUAUUUAUGAGGCUAUUAGAAUUAGACAAAUAUUAGUAUAACAUUUGAAUGACAAAAAGAAAAGAAAUAAAAGUUUAUAUUAAAUUAUUUUUGAGAUGAAUAACAAAUAAAUAAGUUCACGAGAGGGAGGCUAGAGAGCAAUUUUCUGUGGCCACACCUUGUCAGCACCGAACUUGUCUGGUAGUAUAAUUUAUAUUUCGUAUGUGAUUUGUGAACUAUCGCAUAAACACACAUUAUCCAACACAGGAGCGGAAUUUGGGGUGCUCUGGUACCCACUAAACUCGACGCGGAAUAGGUAUAAUUACAUAGAAAAUAUACAAAAAUAGGCAUAAAAUAUAUAAAAGCACCCACUCUAAUAAAAAGUUGGUUAGGUGCACUGGCAUUUGAUUCGGGUUUGGACCUCAUUGAGGUAAUUUUUUAAUUUUUUCUAAGUUUUUUUAAUUUUUUAAGCACUCAUUAUCCUUAAAUUUUAGGUCCCCGCUGAUCCAACAGCGGUGGCACGGAAGAAAAAGUUGCUUAUUCUCCGUGCCUUUGUUCAUUUCACUUAAAAAGAAGACAUCACAGUGAAUGCUCAUUGUUACCUGGAAAGAGACUUGAGUUUAGGGUUAUUAAAAAGUAAACAGUGGCUGUGCAUUUUACAGUAAAAAAAACACCUAGAAUAGUUUUGCGGGGGUGGGGAGUACAUAGUGACAGGUACUGGUAGUAGCUAUCCUGAAGGGAUUUAUAUUUGCUCUCCUAUUAUGUUUCUAUAAAUAGGGCCCCCCUACACAACUACACUCCUUCAUAAGGCGGCAGUCCUCACAAAAUAAAUGUCUUUAAUUUCCCCAACCCAAAAUUUGCCCGACCACUUUUCCCCUUUCUGCAUUUACCACUUACCCGCUCAAAAAUGUACUAAUUAUGUAUAUAGAUAGGGUUACAGAACAGUGUGAAGAGGAGGAAGAGGGGGGAAAUUGGACUGGGUGACAUUGUUGACAGAAGAUAGAGAGCACAUAUGAUGACAUGCUGCUAAAUCUGGGAGCUACAGAUCGAGGACUGCAAAAAAUAAAGCAUCUCAAUUCAUUUGUGCUCUCUAUGCUUCGGUCAUCACCUCAGACCCAUUCUUCCUUCUCUUUCUCCUUAUAUUACUUUAUCUACAGUUGUUCAAUUUUAGGUUUACUUUGCUUGUUGGGGAAAUUCCUUGGGCAAAUUCCCCCAUCCAUACUUCUAUAAAAGGAAAGAUAAUGAAAAGUGGGCUCAUCAUCACCCAUAAUUAUAUAUUGACUACUGCUACAGCCUUCUCUUUUCCCGUGCAGCUUUUGUCAGAAAGGAGAUCUGUGCACUAAUCUGAUCUUUUAGUAUUAUUUUAUGUAUAUAUUUGACUAAUUAAUUUGCCCCAACCAUUCUAAUGGAUGAAUGUUACUGUUUUUCAAUACUUCCAUCGACAAAUUCAUCUACGAAAUUGCCGGUUUAUAGAUGCUUUAGAAAUAAAUACUUCUGAAUUUCUAUGAUUUAACUUGAAUGUGUUUACUUAACUGUGCUGAAAAUCUAUGUGCUAAUCUUAGUUUUCUGCUACACUUGAAACAGAUCAUUUGGAUCUCUGGUUCUUUGCCAUGUACGUACCUGAAAGGGAAGUCUUCCGGAGGGGAUGUUUAUAUCAAUUACAUGAAAAAAACCGGAUGUGGGAGUACUUGAAAUGUAAGUUCAAUGAUUCGAUGCAUGAGGCUAACAUGAUAGUGGAGCUGGAAUCUCAAGCCAUUCGGAAGAGAGAUAGUUUCAAGUAUCUUGGGUAUGAUUCUGGGGAAUGGAGAGAUUGACGAGGAUGUCAUGCACUGUAUUGGUGCAGGGUGGUUGAAGUAGAGGCUCACUUCGGGUGUCUUAUGUGAUAAGAAGGUGUCUUCUAAGCUUAAAGGUAAGUUCUACAAAGUGGCAGUCCGACAGACUAUGUUGUAUAAAGCGGAGUGUUGGCUAGUUAAGAACUCCCACAUCCAACAAUUGAAGGUGGCGGCGAUGAGGAUGUUAAGAUAGAUGUGUGGAUUUAAGGUUAUUCGAGAGAAGGUGGAGUGGCUUCGGUGAAAGACAAAAUGCAUAAAGUGGGGUUGCGAUGGUUCGGGCAUGUGAGGAGGUGUACGGAUGCUAGGUGUGAGAGGCUGGCUACGAAUGAUUUUAGGCGGGGUAGAGGUAGGCCGAAGAAAUAUUGGAGGAAUGUGAUUAGGCAUCACAUGCAUCGGUUACAACUUAAGGAGGACAUGACCCUUGAUAGGAAGGUGUGGAGGACGUUAAUUAGGGUAGAGGGUAGGAGUGCAUCUGUAAUAGUAGGAAGCAGUGUUUUGUUUGUAUCUGUCCCUGCAGUUUCUUGUUCAUAGUGUUGUAAUAAUGUUUGUGAUUUUGAAUAGAUAAUUUAUAGUAUGACUUUAUCGG